AUACGGAGGGUGCGAGCGUUAAUCGGAAUUACUGGGCGUAAAGCGUACGUAGGCGGUUGGUUAAGUUAGAUGUGAAAGCCCCGGGCUUAACCUGGGAACUGCAUUUAAAACUGGCGAACUAGAGUUGAGUAGAGGGGAGUGGAAUUUCAGGUGUAGCGGUGAAAUGCGUAGAGAUCUGAAGGAACACCAGUGGCGAAGGCGACUCCCUGGACUUGAACUGACGCUGAGGUACGAAAGCGUGGGUAGCAAACGGGAUUAGAAACCCGAGUAGUCC
rnacentral:rRNA from 1 species